CUCCAUGUGUAGCGGUGGAAUGCGUAGAUAUAUGGAAGAACACCAGUGGCGAAGGCGGCUGUCUGGUCUGCAACUGACGCUGAGGCUCGAAAGCAUGGGUAGCGAACAGGAUUAGAUACCCUGGUAGUCCAUGCCGUAAACGAUGAGUGCUAGGUGUUGGAGGGUUUCCGCCCUUCAGUGCCGGAGCUAACGCAUUAAGCACUCCGCCUGGGGAGUACGACCGCAAGGUUGAAACUCAAAGGAAUUGACGGGGGCCCGCACAAGCGGUGGAGCAUGUGGUUUAAUUCGAAGCUACGCGAAGAACCUUACCAGGUCUUGACAUCUUGCGCUAACCUAAGAGAUUAUGCGUUCCCUUCGGGGACGCAAUGAC
rnacentral:rRNA from 1 species